GAGAUCCUGCAGUAGCGCAACCGGAACCUUCCUUGUUGUCAGUAUGUUUACCCGGUGCUUUGAUUUGACAGGACCAGAGACGGACCAACGGUAGAAACAAAUCCAACUGUCACGGAAUCGGGGCGAAAACGGAUUAAAAAGCCGAAGUCGCAGCUACAAUACCCUAAAAAUAUCAAAACCAGGCAGCCUUUCAAGGUUGGUGUCCAACUGUUUCUAAGGAUUCCGGCGCGCAUCUUCUCCGACGUUACACUCACGCUAUAAACAUUAAUAACAAUGGCUUCUGGGUCGCCGUCGUCCUCUCCGGACACUGCGACGGGCUCAGGUACGGACCCAGCCCGGCCAGACACGGGGGAGCCUCUCGGUGGAGCAGGCUCAGACUCGGACUCGGACCUUGGUUUGGGUAAAUUUGACUGCAGCGCCAUGGAAAUGGGGGACAGGCUCGAGGGAGACGAGCUGGAGCGGGAGUUUGAGUCAGCAGCCGGCCGCGUACGAGAUCUGGUUCAGACCGCCAGCAGGGACCAGCUGCUGUAUCUAUACGCACGAUAUAAACAGGCCAAAGUGGGGAAGUGCAAUACACAGAAGCCUGGCUUCUUCGACUUUGAAGGACAGAGAAAAUGGCAAGCAUGGAAGCAGCUUGGAGACAUGGACGCGGAGCAGGCAAUGCAGGAGUACAUAUCCUGUGUCAAUGUGUUAGACCCUGAGGGUUGCACAAAGGAAAGACGAGGAGCAGAAAGAAGAACAGGCUUUGGAGGAGCAGCAGUCAGCUCUCUGUACCAGGAAGAGAUGAUCAGGGAAGAAGAUAAGAACAUAUUUGACUACUGCAGAGAAAACAACAUUGACCACAUCAGCAAAGCUAUCAGUUCCCAGACAGUGGAAGUCAACGCUAAAGACGAAGAGGGCCGGGCUCUCCUGCACUGGGCCUGUGACAGAGGACACAAAGAGCUGGUGUCAGUAUUACUGCAGCAUAAAGCAGACAUCAACAGUCAGACAGAGAGGGAGGGGAGCGAGAGAGUGAGAGAGUGAGAGCUGGAUACAGACAGCGACGGGAGAGGAGGGAGGAGACGGGGGUGAGGAGAGAGAAUAAACAAAGAUAAUGAAGGCCAGACAGCACUACAUUAUGCAUCGGCGUGUGAGUUUUUCGACAUUGUUGAGCUCUUGCUGAACGCCGGAGCCGACCCAUCCAUCAAAGACAUGGAGGGCUCUCUUCCUGAGGAGGUCACCGAAUCUAGCGCCAUCUCCUCUCUCCUCCGUCAGUACACCGCACCGAAAGGCUAAAUCAACACCCCCGUCUCCAGAACCCUACCCCCAGUCCCUGUCUCCCUUUGUUCAUCUCCUGCAGUUAGUAAACCAGGAUUUCAAAGGUUUUAUUCAACUUUAUUUCCAAAUACUUGAGGUGAGUUUUAUUUUGUUUGGCUUAGCUCUUAGGGAGCACAGGGUGUAAAACAUAACCCUUCCAUUUGAUAAACCACAUGAAAUGAAGCCCACCACAUGUAUUUUUAUUAAUCUAAAUACAGUAUAUUGACUUUAUUUGCCCAGUAGGGUUGGGUGAUAUGACAAUAAGAGGGAUCUGUCACCUGUCUGAGAUUGUCCUGAGGUAGCUGGACCUUAAAUACCUCUGGUGGUUUUAGAUAGAUGCUGAUGUUGCAAAUCAACCAGCAGGACUGCUUUUUGGCAAUAUUAGGAUGACAGGAUUUCUGUAUCAGUGUGAUGAAUGAUCUGGAUACAUCACUGAGGAACCAAAAACAGACAUUCCCAUUUACUUAUUUUAUUUAUCAACAGUUAAUAAAAGAAACCUAAAUACUCAUAUCAAUAGGGAUGUAACGAUAUCUAAAUCUCACAAUGGGAUAAUACCUCAAUACGAGUACUCUUCGGUACGAUAUUUAUUGCAAUAUGAUUUGAGUAGCUCUGGAAAUCCACCCACCCGUGGUGAGUAAGAUGCACUCAGCUAGCUGUGUAAUUUAAGCCUUUGUCUGUUGGCAGAGAGCUGUAGAAGUUUUUGACUAAAGCAUGGCUGUGAUGGGAGUUGAUACUCUGGCCCCAGCGUGUUUAUUAACACUUUGAAUCCUUUCGCCACACAUCAGAUCGUAAAGCCACUGGAGCGUCCACAGUUUCAGAAUCUUGUCUUUAUUCUCCCUCACCACAAACACUGGUGUCGACCAUUUUUACUGUACUAUAUCUGAGGCAGCAGACAGAGCGCAAAGGAUGAUGGACACGCUGAGACGAUGCCACUGUAGUUCCCACUUCCCUCCACUCUGCUCCACUGCAGCUGAAUCAAAACUACACUUUCUGCCCAGGAGACCUAUCGUUUUCACGACCUCACAGAUACACGACCGUAUCAAGAUACUUUUGUUCUCCCUAUAUUGUGAAAUUGAAGAUGCCGUUACAUCCCUACAUAUCACAAGUUCUGUAUGCCGUUAUUGCAAUAUGAAAUGACUUACUGUUACAGAGUAAGUUAUACAUAUCACCCACUCCUACUGCCCAGGUCUGACAACCAGCCAGGCAUUUUAGUCCGGGUCAGCCCGCUCUGACCCUUUGUUCAUGGAUCAGUUGUGUUACGUUCAAGGAAUGCUUUAAUCAUCUGUUCUUUAUCAUAUUAAAGUGUUGAAAAAAUAUCA